rnacentral:rRNA from 1 species
UCAGGACGAACGCUGCGGCGUGCCUAAUACAUGCAAGUCGAACGGUCUUUCUAUGGAAGCUUGCUUCCACUGAGAAGAUAGUGGCGAACGGGUGAGUAACACGUGGGUAACCUGCCCAUAAGAGGGGGAUAACAUCCGGAAACGGGUGCUAAUACCGCAUAGUUUUCUUGAUCGCAUGAUCGGGAAAGGAAAGACGGCCUUUGUGCUGUCGCUUAUGGAUGGACCCGCGGCGUAUUAGUUAGUUGGCGAGGUAAUGGCUCACCAAGACGAUGAUACGUAGCCGACCUGAGAGGGUGAUCGGCCACAUUGGGACUGAGACACGGCCCAAACUCCUACGGGAGGCAGCAGUAGGGAAUCUUCCGCAAUGGACGAAAGUCUGACGGAGCAACGCCGCGUGAGUGAAAGAAGGUUUUCGGAUCGUAAAACUCUGUUGUCAGAGAAGAACAAGUUGGAGAGUAACUGCUCCAGCCUUGACGGUAUCUGACCAGAAAGCCACGGCUAACUACGUGCCAGCCGCGGC